AGGGCAGGUCGAGGGCAGGCAGAAUGGUCAGAACCAGGAAGACUAGAAAACAGCAACUAGAAAGACUCGAAGACGGGAAAACACACUGAUUCCUCCUGUUUUGACAUCAGAGACACUCUCUUGUGGUCGGUUUUGUUUGCUGGAGCCUUUGGGCACAUGGAGGCAGAGCAGCCUGGAGUCCCUGCUUGCCUGGAGCUCCCCAUGCCUGGCUCCGGGGGAGGUUGGGCUGGAUUAGACAACUGACAGCUGGGCCACAUCUCUGGAGACGCCGGGUGGAGAGGCCCCCUGUCUUUCUGCCGCUGAACCAAGUGUCAAUUUGGGCAUGAAGGAAAGAGCGGGGAGCAGGCAAAGAAAGGAAUGGAGGGAGCGAGCGAACAGGGGCCCCUGGUUGUCCUCUGUGGAUCAACAACAGUGGUGCAUGGGCCGUGCACACCGUUAGGCAUCGAGAAACACACUGUUUAUUUAGGAGGAGCCUCCGACAUGGGAGCACUAACGUACACACACAGACGGACACACUCAUGCUUGCGCACACAAACACACAAGGAUGGACACUGACAGAGAUAAAGCACAGGGAUGAGCUCUGGUCUCUUCUAGUAAAAGUCUUGUUGUUAGUGUGAGGAGAGGAGAACGUCUGAGUUGCAAUGUUGACAGCAUGCAUUUACAUGACCUUGUUGUAAGUAACACACUCACAGAUUUUGUAACCAACAGCUUAAAUAAUGCCUGGAACUAUUCUUGGAGAAAACCACAGCUUUUCGAUAAUGAAGAAAUGGCCUGGAAAAUUAACCACCUCAGGUGGUAUCCUAUACAAUUAAGUGCAAUCAAGAUU